GAUCCUACGGGGGGCAGCAGUAGGGAAUCUUCCACAAUGGGCGAAAGCCUGAUGGAGCAACGCCGCGUGGGUGAAGAAGGUCUUCGGAUCGUAAAACCCUGUUGUUAGAGAAGAAAGAGGGUGAGAGUAACUGUUCACGUUUCGACGGUAUCUAACCAGAAAGCCACGGCUAACUACGUGCCAGCAGCCGCGGUAAUAAGUAGGUGGCAAGAGUUAUCCGGAUUUAUUGGGCGUAAAGGGAAAGCAGGCGGGCUUUUAAGUCUGAUGUGAAAGCAUUCGGGUUAACCGGAGUAG
rnacentral:rRNA from 1 species